rnacentral:rRNA from 2 species
GGGUUGUGAGGUUAAGCGACUAAGCGUACACGGUGGAUGCCCUGGCAGUCAGAGGCGAUGAAGGGCGUGCUAAUCUGCGAUAAGCGCCGGUAAGGUGAUAUGAACCGUUAUAACCGGCGAUACCCGAAUGGGGAAACCCAGUGUGAUUCGUCACACUAUCAUUAACUGAAUCCAUAGGUUAAUGAGGCGAACCGGGGGAACUGAAACAUCUAAGUACCCCGAGGAAAAGAAAUCAACCGAGAUUCCCCCAGUAGCGGCGAGCGAACGGGGAGGAGCCCAGAGCCUGAAUCAGCAUGUGUGUUAGUGGAAGCGUCUGGAAAGGCGCGCGAUACAGGGUGACAGCCCCGUACACAAAAGCGCAUGUGCUGUGAGCUCGAUGAGUAGGGCGGGACACGUGGUAUCCUGUCUGAAUAUGGGGGGACCAUCCUCCAAGGCUAAAUACUCCUGACUGACCGAUAGUGAACCAGUACCGUGAGGGAAAGGCGAAAAGAACCCCGGCGAGGGGAGUGAAAAAGAACCUGAAACCGUGUACGUACAAGCAGUGGGAGCACCCUUCGGGGUGUGACUGCGUACCUUUUGUAUAAUGGGUCAGCGACUUAUAUUCUGUAGCAAGGUUAACCGAAUAGGGGAGCCGGAGGGAAACCGAGUCUUAAUUGGGCGUUAAGUUGCAGGGUAUAGACCCGAAACCCGGUGAUCUAGCCAUGGGCAGGUUGAAGGUUGGGUAACACUAACUGGAGGACCGAACCGACUAAUGUUGAAAAAUUAGCGGAUGACCUGUGGCUGGGGGUGAAAGGCCAAUCAAACCGGGAGAUAGCUGGUUCUCCCCGAAAGCUAUUUAGGUAGCGCCUCGUGAAUUCAUCUCCGGGGGUAGAGCACUGUUUCGGCUAGGGGGCCAUCCCGGCUUACCAACCCGAUGCAAACUGCGAAUACCGGAGAAUGUUAUCACGGGAGACACACGGCGGGUGCUAACGUCCGUCGUGAAGAGGGAAACAACCCAGACCGCCAGCUAAGGUCCCAAAGUCAUGGUUAAGUGGGAAACGAUGUGGGAAGGCCCAGACAGCCAGGAUGUUGGCUUAGAAGCAGCCAUCAUUUAAAGAAAGCGUAAUAGCUCACUGGUCGAGUCGGCCUGCGCGGAAGAUGUAACGGGGCUAAACCAUGCACCGAAGCUGCGGCAGCGAACGUAUCACCCAAGACAACUUUGCGGAGUUGACGAUUGACGGAGCGAAGCGACGUCAAAGCGUUCAUUAAAGUCGAGUUGGCUUAGGGAUACGUUCGUU